CCUACGGGAGGCAGCAGUGGGGAAUAUUGGACAAUGGGGGCAACCCUGAUCCAGCCAUGCCGCGUGUGUGAAGAAGGCCCUCGGGUUGGAAAGCACUUUCAGUGAGGAAGAACGCCUGGUGGUUAAUACCCAUCAGGAAAGACAUCACUCACAGAAGAAGCACCGGCUAACUCCGUGCCAGCAGCCGCGGUAAUACGGAGGGUGCGAGCGUUAAUCGGAAUUACUGGGCGUAAAGCGCGCGUAGGUGGCUUGAUAAGCCGGUUGUGAAAGCCCCGGGCUCAACCUGGGAACGGCAUCCGGAACUGUCAAGCUAGAGUGCAGGAGAGGAAGGUAGAAUUCCCGGUGUAGCGGUGAAAUGCGUAGAGAUCGGGAGGAAUACCAGUGGCGAAGGCGGCCUUCUGGACUGACACUGACACUGAGGUGCGAAAGCGUGGGUAGCAAACAGGAUUAGAUACCCGGGUAGUC
rnacentral:rRNA from 1 species